UACUAUUUUGACAGAAAAAAUGUAAUGAUUUUAGAAUUCAUAAAUGUAUGUAUUUAUAAUACAUAUAAGUAGUAA
rnacentral:tRNA from 1 species